rnacentral:rRNA from 1 species
GCUUACGGCCAUACCACCGAGCGCCCUAUCUCUUCUGAUCUCGGAAGCUAAGCAGGGUCAGGCCUGGUUAGUACUUGGAUGGGAGACCGCCUGGGAAUACCAGGUGCUGUAAGCU